GACGUAGGGCGCAAGCGUUGUCCGGAUUUAUUGGGCGUAAAGAGCUCGUAGGCGGCCUGUCGCGUCGACUGUGAAAACCCGCGGCUUAACCGUGGGACUGCAGUCGAUACGGGCAGGCUCGAGUUCGGUAGGGGAGACUGGAAUUCCUGGUGUAGCGGUGAAAUGCGCAGAUAUCAGGAGGAACACCGGUGGCGAAGGCGGGUCUCUGGGCCGAUACUGACGCUGAGGAGCGAAAGCGUGGGGAGCGAACAGG
rnacentral:rRNA from 1 species